rnacentral:rRNA from 1 species
GACAGAGGUUGCAAACGUUGUUCGGAAUUACUGGGCAUAAAGCGCACGUAGGUGGUCCGCUAAGUCGCGUGUGAAAUGCCCCGGCUCAACCGGGGAAUUGCGCGUGAUACUGGCGGGUUUGAGGUCGGGAGGGGUGAGUGGAACUCCUGGUGGAGCGGUGAAAUGCGUAGAUAUCAGGAGGAACACCGGUGGCGAAAGCGACUCACUGGCCCGAAUCUGACACUGAGGUGCGAAAGCUAGGGUAGCAAACGGG